rnacentral:rRNA from 1 species
CGACGUGAGGAACCUGCCUUUCAGAGGGGGACAACAGUUGGAAACGACUGCUAAUACCGCAUAAUAUAUUGUUGUCGCAUGGCAAUGAUAUCAAAGAUUUAUCGCUGAAAGAUGGCCUCGCGUCUGAUUAGCUAGUUGGUAGGGUAACGGCCUACCAAGGCGACGAUCAGUAGCCGGACUGAGAGGUUGAUCGGCCACAUUGGGACUGAGACACGGCCCAGACUCCUACGGAAGGCAGCAG